AUGGACGUCGGUCAGAGCGCACCAUCGCCCGCCUGUGAGAGUGAGCCACUCCGAGCACUCCGCCAUUCGCCCAUCCACCUUGCAUGGGUGCCAAUCGACUUCCUCAAGCACCGGCUGCCUCUUUCUCGGUCUUCUCCUCCAACACCGGUGAGCAGCUCCCCGCUGGGUUCAAGGUCGAUGCCAACGAGGCUGGGCGAUCCUUGGACAUGGAGCGGCAGCACGCCGGCGCCAACUUCAUAUGCAGUAGCGGCAGCGGCUCACAGGUGGCAGAGGCGCCUUCCACGCCCAUGGCCGAUGGCUCCGCAUCAGCCAUGGCCGGCGUCUCCACGUCCAGCACGUCCAUGGUGGCGCUGCCGCGUUCUUGGCUGCACCUCCGCUUCCCUGGCCGGAUUUGCUUGCUGGUCGUGGACGCUUGCGUCAUGUGAAACAGAGAAGGCCGGAGUACAGCAUACUACUACUUCUUGCACGUGGGCUGGGGACUUUCUCGUCCAAAAUUUAGCGCCAGCACAUACAUUGGUACCUGGUCUAGAAACUAUGCGCACUACAAUCUGGAAUGGAGGGAGUACAUGUUAA
rnacentral:rRNA from 1 species